CCUACGGGAGACUGCAGUGGGGAAUAUUGCACAAUGGGGGAAACCCUGAUGCAGCGACGCCGCGUGAGUGAAGAAGUAUUUCGGUACGUAAAGCUCUAUCAGCAGGGAAGAAAAUGACGGUACCUGACUAAGAAGCCCCGGCUAACUACGUGCCAGCAGCCGCGGUAAUACGUAGGGGGCAAGCGUUAUCCGGAUUUACUGGGUGUAAAGGGAGCGUAGACGGCAGCGCAAGUCUGGAGUGAAAUCCCAUGGCUUAACCAUGGAACUGCUUUGGAAACUGUGCAGCUAGAGUGCAGGAGAGGUAAGCGGAAUUCCUAGUGGAGCGGUGAAAUGCGUAGAUAUUAGGAGGAACACCAGUGGCGAAGGCGGCUUACUGGACUGUAACUGACGUUGAGGCUCGAAAGCGUGGGGAGCAAACAGGAUUAGAUACCCUUGUAGUC
rnacentral:rRNA from 1 species